AACCAGACUCCUACGGGAGGCAGCAGUGGGGAAUAUUGCACAAUGGGGGAAACCCUGAUGCAGCGACGCCGCGUGAGUGAAGAAGUAUUUCGGUAUGUAAAGCUCUAUCAGCAGGGAAGAUAAUGACGGUACCUGACUAAGAAGCCCCGGCUAACUACGUGCCAGCAGCCGCGGUAAUACGUAGGGGGCAAGCGUUAUCCGGAUUUACUGGGUGUAAAGGGAGCGUAGGUGGCAGGGCAAGUCAGAUGUGAAAACCCGGGGCUCAACCCCGGGAGUGCUCUUGGAACUGCGCGGCUGGAGUGCAGGAGGGGCAGGCGGAAUUCCUGGUGUAGCGGUGAAAUGCGUAGAUAUCAGGAGGAACACCGGUGGCGAAGGCGGCCUGCUGGACUGCGACUGACGUUGAGGCCCGAAAGCGUGGGGAGCAAACAGGAUUAGAUACCCGCGUAUUG
rnacentral:rRNA from 1 species